GGCGCAGCUUACCAUGCAGUCGAGCGGUAGCACAGGGGAGCUUGCUCCCUGGGUGACGAGCGGCGGACGGGUGAGUAAUGUCUGGGAAACUGCCUGAUGGAGGGGGAUAACUACUGGAAACGGUAGCUAAUACCGCAUAACGUCGCAAGACCAAAGAGGGGGACCUUCGGGCCUCUUGCCAUCAGAUGUGCCCAGAUGGGAUUAGCUAGUAGGUGGGGUAAUGGCUCACCUAGGCGACGAUCCCUAGCUGGUCUGAGAGGAUGACCAGCCACACUGGAACUGAGACACGGUCCAGACUCCUACGGGAGGCAGCAGUGGGGAAUAUUGCACAAUGGGCGCAAGCCUGAUGCAGCCAUGCCGCGUGUGUGAAGAAGGCCUUCGGGUUGUAAAGCACUUUCAGCGAGGAGGAAGGUGGUGAACUUAAUACGUUCAUCAAUUGACGUUACUCGCAGAAGAAGCACCGGCUAACUCCGUGCCAGCAGCCGCGGUAAUACGGAGGGUGCAAGCGUUAAUCGGAAUUACUGGGCGUAAAGCGCACGCAGGCGGUUUGUUAAGUCAGAUGUGAAAUCCCCGGGCUCAACCUGGGAACUGCAUUUGAAACUGGCAAGCUAGAGUCUCGUAGAGGGGGGUAGAAUUCCAGGUGUAGCGGUGAAAUGCGUACAGAUCUGGAGGAAUACCGGUGGCGAAGGCGGCCCCCUGGACGAACACUGACGCUCACGUGCGAAAGCGUGGGGAGCAAACAGGGUUAGAUACUCGGGUAUUCGACCUGUAGACAUG
rnacentral:rRNA from 1 species